CCUACGGGUGGCAGCAGUCGAGAAUCAUUCACAAUGGGGGAAACCCUGAUGGUGCGACGCCGCGUGGGGGAAUGAAGGUCUUCGGAUUGUAAACCCCUGUCAUGUGGGAGCAAAUUAAAAAGAUAGUACCACAAGAGGAAGAGACGGCUAACUCUGUGCCAGCAGCCGCGGUAAUACAGAGGUCUCAAGCGUUGUUCGGAAUCACUGGGCGUAAAGCGUGCGUAGGCUGUUUCGUAAGUCGUGUGUGAAAGGCGCGGGCUCAACCCGCGGACGGCACAUGAUACUGCGAGACUAGAGUAAGGGAGUGGGAACCGGAAUUCUCGGUGUAGCAGUGAAAUGCGUAGAUAUUGAGAGGAACACUCGUGGCGAAGGCGGGUUCCUGGACAUUAACUGACGCUGAGGCACGAAGGCCAGGGGAGCGAAAGGGAUUAGAUACCCCGGUAGUC
rnacentral:rRNA from 1 species